GUCACUGCUAGGGAGGUUAUGUCUUCUUCAAGUCACUACUAGGGAGGUUCUGGAUGUUCUGUCUUCAUCAAGCCACUACUAAGGAGGUUCUGUCUUCAUCGUGUCACUACUAGGGAGGUUCUGGAGGUUCUGUCUUCAUCGUGUCACUACUACGGAGGUUCUGAAUGUUCUGUCUUCAUCAAGUCACUACUAGGGAGGUUCUGGAUGUUCUGUCUUUAUCAAGUCACUACUAGGGAGGUUCUGGAUGUUCUGUCUUUAUCAAGUCACUACUAGGGAG
ensembl:lncRNA